rnacentral:ribozyme from 1 species
AGUUGGCUGUGAACAUUAAACGCAGCCUCAGACGGAAACGUCUGAGUGAAAAUUGGGUGAAUUGUCCCAUAAGGGAAUCCGAACUUGCUUCGGAUCGGGAAACCUCAGCAGGUAAGGCUGGAGGCAAUCCGCAGCCAAGCUUGGCAGGUCCAAACUGCCUUGAAGGUUCAGAGACUAGGACUGAAAUAAUGUCCCUAGAGCGCCCAACACCUAAUGUUUAAAGGCUAUGGUGAUGAGAUAGUCCACGCUUGGUAGAAAUACUAAG